rnacentral:rRNA from 1 species
UCUUUAAAAGCUCAUUGGAGAUUAUGGGGCCGUGUAACCAGCGAUAAGGCAAGCACGUUGCCUUGUUGUCUAAGACGCAAGGCGCGUCGCCCAUCGCUUGCAAAAAAGAUUUCUUGUGCGUUGACGUUGUUCGGGGCUUCAGUCCCGUCUCGUGCCCGCGCAUGCCUUUUUUGAUUCACGGUCUCCAGGAAUGAAGGGGGGUAGUUCGGGGGGACGAAUUGGUCCGUUAGAGGUGAAAUACUUAGACCACACCAAGACGAACUACAGCGAAGGCAUUCUCCAAGGAUACCUUCUUCAAUCAAGAACCAAAGUGUGGGGAUCGAAGAU